GUCUCCUCCUCUGCGUUGCUGGCGUGGGCGCCCUGGGGACCUGCGGUAGCAGCUGGGCCCUGGUGCAGGACCUCAGGAUCCCAAAGUGAAAGAGAAACUCAGUGAGGCCCAAGGUGCUGGGGAUUAAAUUCGUGUUUGCCAGCCAGGCGCUUACACCACUGAGCUAAAUCCACAGCCCCCACCAUACUUCUCAAUCAGCCCACAAAAGAGGCCUCACGGGUAGGAAGAGAAGGAGCUGGGAGUUAAAGCCAGGAGCUCUGUCCCUACAGCCACGCCUUUAACUUUGUCUUUUAUCAUCUUUGCUGGAAAAAAUUGGACAGAAAAAAAAUACAAAACCAGAUUUCAGAUAUUGGAAAACCUCUCUGGUGACUCUGUCACUUCCUCUGGAGGGAGCAAUUUUUCAACACUGAAUCUGCAGUAAGGAUAUGGUUUGUAAAACUGGGUAACUUUUUAUACUUAAAGAAAAAAAUCUUAGCAACU